rnacentral:rRNA from 1 species
CCCUUAGAUGUUCGGGGCCGCACGCGCGCUACAAUGAGUCGAUCAACGAGCGUAUAUUAUUAUCCAAGUCCGAAAGGUCGAGGUAAUCCGUUGAACCCGACUCGUGCUAGGGAUAGGGAAUUGUAAUUGUUUCCCUUGAACGAGGAAUUCCCAGUAAGCGAAAGUCAUCAGCUUGCGUUGAUUACGUCCCUGCCCUUUGUACACACCGCCCGUCGCUACUACCGAUUGAAUGGUUCAGUGAGAUAAUCGGACAGAUAACUUGGCAACUGGCAACAGUUGACGUGCAUAUUUGGAAGACGAUCAAACUUGGUCAUUUAGAGGAAGUAAAAGUCGUAACA